AUCUAUCUGACGAGUCUCGAACAGAACGAAACGCGCAUCCUGGAU
rfam:Schistosoma margrebowiei strain Zambia genome assembly, scaffold: SMRZ_scaffold0002781